rnacentral:rRNA from 1 species
UACGUAGGGGGCCAGCGUUGUCCGAAGUUACUGGGCGUAAAGAGCGUGUAGGCGGGUCUUUAAGUGAGAGGGGAAAGGUUCAGGGCUCAACCCGAACACUGCCUUUCAUACUGGGGACCUUGAGGGCGGGAGAGGCGAGUGGAAUGGUCGGUGUAGCGGUGAAAUGCGUAGAUAUCGAUCGGAACACCCAUGGCGAAGGCAGCUCGCUGGCCCGCAUCUGACGCUGAGACGCGAAAGCGUGGGGAGCAAACAGG